rnacentral:rRNA from 1 species
CGCUGUGACUCCUACGGGAGGCAGCAGUGGGGAAUAUUGCACAAUGGGCGCAAGCCUGAUGCAGCCAUGCCGCGUGUAUGAAGAAGGCCUUCGGGUUGUAAAGUACUUUCAGCAGUGAGGAAGGUGGUAGUGUUAAUAGCACUAUCAUUUGACGUUAGCUGCAGAAGAAGCACCGGCUAACUCCGUGCCAGCAGCCGCGGUAAUACGGAGGGUGCGAGCGUUAAUCGGAAUUACUGGGCGUAAAGCGCAUGCAGGUGGUUUGUUAAGUCAGAUGUGAAAGCCCGGGGCUCAACCUCGGAAUUGCAUUUGAAACUGGCAGACUAGAGUACUGUAGAGGGGGUAGAAUUUCAGGUGUAGCGGUGAAAAUGCGUAGAGAUCUGAAGGAAUACCGGUGGCGAAGGCGGCCCCCUGGACAGAUACUGACACUCAGAUGCGAAAGCGUGGGGAGCAAACAGGAUUAGAUACCCUGGUAG